rnacentral:rRNA from 1 species
AGGACGAACGCUGGCGGCGCGCCUAACACAUGCAAGUCGAGCGAUAACCAGGGGCUUGCCCUUGGGGACAGCGGCGAACGGGUGCGUAACACGUGAGCAACCUGCCCCGAAGACCGGGACAACCCGAGGAAACUCGGACUAAUACCGGAUGUCCUCACCGGAUCGCAUGGUCUGGUGAGGAAAUGGAUUCCGCUUCGGGAUGGGCUCGCGGUCUAUCAGCUUGUUGGUGGGGUAACGGCCUACCAAGGCGACGACGGAUAGCUGGUCUGAGAGGACGAUCAGCCACACUGGGACUGAGACACGGCCCAGACUCCUACGGGAGGCAGCAGUGGGGAAUCUUGCGCAAUGGGGGAAACCCUGACGCAGCAACGCCGCGUGGAGGAUGAAGCCCCUUGGGGUGUAAACUCCUUUCGACCAAGACGAUAAUGACGGUACUGGUGGAAGAAGCACCGGCUAACUCUGUGCCAGCAGCCGC